GUGGGGAAUAUUGCACAAUGGGCGCAAGCCUGAUGCAGCCAUGCCGCGUGUGUGAAGAAGGCCUUCGGGUUGUAAAGCACUUUCAGCGGGGAGGAAGGCGAUAAGGUUAAUAACCUUGUCGAUUGACGUUACCCGCAGAAGAAGCACCGGCUAACUCCGUGCCAGCAGCCGCGGUAAUACGGAGGGUGCAAGCGUUAAUCGGAAUUACUGGGCGUAAAGCGCACGCAGGCGGUCUGUCAAGUCGGAUGUGAAAUCCCCGGGCUCAACCUGGGAACUGCAUUCGAAACUGGCAGGCUAGAGUCUUGUAGAGGGGGGUAGAAUUCCAGGUGUAGCGGUGAAAUGCGUAGAGAUCUGGAGGAAUACCGGUGGCGAAGGCGGCCCCCUGGACAAAGACUGACGCUCAGGUGCGAAAGCGUGGGGAGCAAACAGGAUUAGAUACCCGAGUAGUCC
rnacentral:rRNA from 1 species